CCUACGGGGGGCAGCAGUAAGGAAUAUUGGUCAAUGGAGGCAACUCUGAACCAGCCAUGCCGCGUGCAGGAAGAAGGCGCUACGCGUUGUAAACUGCUUUUGUACAAGAGAAAACCCUUGCUCGUGAGCGAGGUUGAUAGUAUUGUAAGAAUAAGCAUCGGCUAACUUCGUGCCAGCAGCCGCGGUAAGACGAAGGAUGCAAGCGUUAUCCGGAUUCAUUGGGUUUAAAGGGUGCGUAGGCGGCCUUGUAAGUCAGUGGUGAAAUCUCUCAGCUUAACUGAGAAACUGCCAUUGAUACUGCAAGGCUUGAGUACAGAUGAUGUUGGCGGAAUAUGACAUGUAGCGGUGAAAUGCAUAGAUAUGUCAUAGAACACCGAUUGCGAAGGCAGCUGACAAAACUGUAACUGACGCUGAGGCACGAAAGUGUGGGGAUCAAACAGGAUUAGAUACCCGGGUAGUC
rnacentral:rRNA from 1 species